GUGCUGAACUGCUAAAAGCUGACAAUCACACAGAAGAAGUUGGAAAAAAGCUGAAAAGUUUUUCAAUAAAAAUUAGAAUAACCUAAGAAAUGAGAAAAGAAAAUUUAGAGUCAAAAAACCUCUGAAUGAAUAAUAAAAGUUCAUAUUCUUUGAAUAACUGAAUGACUAAAAUGUGAUCCCUCCACUUGGAUCCACACAGUUUAAAAAGUUUGUAUCUAUGAGCUUUGAAAGACACGAUGUUGGAAAGGGAACAACGAUGGCGACGUUUUGAGGGUAAAAUGAUAGCUGUAGACCAAACACUGUGGACACAGCAGCAGUUGAAAGAGAAGUGUUUACAUCUCUGAGCUCUGAAAGACACGCUGUUGGAAAGAGAAGAACGAUGGCGACGUUUUGAGGUAAAAUGAUGGCUAUAGACCAAACACUGUGGACACAGCAGCAGUUGAAAGAGAAGUGUUUAAGAUGAAUCUUGGCACAGUGAGAGACAGAGCUCGUUAGGCAGGC
ensembl:lncRNA